rnacentral:rRNA from 1 species
UUGGGUUAAGUCCCGCAACGAGCGCAACCCUUAUCUUAAUUGCCAGCAUUCAGUUGGGCACUUUAAAGAGACUGCCGGUGUUAAACCGGAGGAAGGUGGGGAUGACGUCAAGUCCUCAUGGCCUUUAUGCUUAGGGCUACACACGUGCUACAAUGGGUGGUACAAAGAGAAGCCAACUCGCGAGAGCGCGCCAAUCUCAAAAAGCCAUCCUCAGUUCGGAUUGGAGUCUGCAACUCGACUCCAUGAAGUUGGAAUCGCUAGUAAUCGCGGAUCAGCAUGCCGCGGUGAAUACGUUCCCGGGCCUU